CUGGACCUCAGCUCAGGCGUGGCCACCCGCUGAAUUUAAGCAUAUCAAUAAGCGGAGGAAAAGAAACCAACAGGGAUUCCCCCAGUAACGGCGAGCGAAGCGGGAACAGCUCGAGCCUAAAAUCUCCGGCGCGCAGCCGGCGAAUUGUAGCCGAGAGAGGCACCUGCGCUCGGCAGGCGGUCGACCAAAGUUG
rnacentral:rRNA from 1 species